rnacentral:rRNA from 1 species
CCAAUAGCGUAUAUUAAAGUUGUUGCAGUUAAAAAGCUCGUAGUUGAAUUUCGGGAUUGACGUGAUGGUCGUGCCUUAAGGGGUAUGAACUGUUGCUGUUGAUUUCUCACCUUCUGGAGAAACUUGAUGUCCUUAAUUGGGUGUCUUGCGGAUCCAGGACCUUUACCUUGAAAAAAUUAGAGUGUUUAAAGCAGGCAUUUUGCUCGAAUACAUUAGCAUG